UACGUAGGUGGCAAGCGUUGUCCGGAUUUACUGGGCGUAAAGAGCGCGCAGGCGGUCGUCCAAGUCGCGUGUGAAAGCCCCCGGCUCAACUGGGGAGGGUCACGCGAUACUGGUCGACUCGAAGGCAGGAGAGGGUAGUGGAAUUCCCGGUGUAGUGGUGAAAUGCGUAGAUAUCGGGAGGAACACCAGUGGCGAAGGCGGCCAGCUGGGCCAUUGCUGACGCUGAUGCGCGAAAGCGUGGGGAGCAAACAGG
rnacentral:rRNA from 1 species